rnacentral:rRNA from 1 species
ACGAACGCUGGCGGCUGCUUAACACAUGCAAGUCGAACGGAGUGGCGAAAGGGUGAGUAACGCGUGAGCAACCUGCCUAUGACAGUGGGAUAGCCUCGGGAAACCGGGAUUAAUACCGCAUAGUCAUAGAUGGGCGCGCGUUUGAUUAGCUAGUGGGUGAGAUAACAGCCCACCAAGGCGACGAUCAGUAGCCGGUCUGAGAGGACGGACGGCCACAUUGGAGCUGAGACACGGUGCGAACUCCUACGGGAGGGAGCAGUGGGGAAUAUUGCACAAUGGGGGAAACACUGAUGCAGCGACGCCGCGUGAACGAAGAAGGUAUUCGGAUCGUAAAGUUCUGUCCUAUGGGAAGCAGUACCAUAGAAGAAAGCUCCGGCUAAAUACGUGCCGGCAGCCGCGGUAAUAC